rnacentral:rRNA from 1 species
GAUGAACGCUGGCGGCGUGCCUAAUACAUGCAAGUCGAGCGAACAGACGAGGAGCUUGCUCCUCUGACGUUAGCGGCGGACGGGUGAGUAACACGUGGAUAACCUACCUACAAGACUGGGAUAACUUCGGGAAACCGGAGCUAAUACCGGAUAAUAUAUUGAACCGCAUGGUUCAAUAGUGAAAGACGGUUUUGCUGUCACUUAUAGAUGGAUCCGCGCCGCAUUAGCUAGUUGGUAAGGUAACGGCUUACCAAGGCAACGAUGCGUAGCCGACCUGAGAGGGUGAUCGGCCACACUGGAACUGAGACACGGUCCAGACUCCUACGGGAGGCAGCAGUAGGGAAUCUUCCGCAAUGGGCGAAAGCCUGACGGAGCAACGCCGCGUGAGUGAUGAAGGUCUUCGGAUCGUAAAACUCUGUUAUUAGGGAAGAACAAAUGUGUAAGUAACUAUGCACAUCUUGACGGUACCUAAUCAGAAAGCCACGGCUAACUACGUG